AUGAUCCGACUCCUGCCCGGCACACCCCCUGCCGAUCCUCCCCCUGCUAAGGAAGUAACAGCCUCCCUGCCCCUCUCCUCCAGCCUUCUCCUCUGCUCCCUGCUCCCUGCUCCUUGGGGUUCCUGGAAUAAAGUCAAAGGAGCCAGCAACAGGGCAGGCAUCCAUCUGCUCGCUCUCUCCAACCAGCUCUUCAUGAACUUUUGCCAGGAGUACAGACCCGAAAGGGCAUCAAUUAACUCCCCACCCACCCACAGACAUCGCUGCAGCUGGAGAACCAUUGCAUGUGGAAAGAGUGAAUCUGCAAAUCUGAGCAAUAUAAAAAGCCACAGGGCCUUUAUUCGUACAGCAGAAACAGUGGGACCGUGUUCAGAGCACUGCUGGGCAGGAGAGAGAAGAUACCCACUUAGAAGCAGAUUGGAGCCGCCCCAAUGUUAA
rnacentral:lncRNA from 13 species